GGCCCAAUGGUCUAGUGGUACGAUUCUCGCUUUGGGAUAUUCCAAGAUUUGCGUCUUGCCUGUUCUCACUGCGAGCGGCCCCGGGUUCGAAUCCCGGUUGGGCCC